UGCCCAGCAACUCCUAUCCCUACCUCCUCGCGGUACCGGCCGGAAACUAUAAGCAAUCUUAGGGAAGA
rnacentral:ribozyme from 1 species